AUUGAACGCUGGCGGCAUGCCUUACACAUGCAAGUCGAACGGCAGCACGGGAGCAAUCCUGGUGGCGAGUGGCGAACGGGUGAGUAAUAUAUCGGAACGUGCCCAGUCGUGGGGGAUAACGUAGCGAAAGCUACGCUAAUACCGCAUACGAUCCAUGGAUGAAAGCGGGGGAUCGCAAGACCUCGCGCGAUUGGAGCGGCCGAUAUCAGAUUAGGUUGUUGGUGGGGUAAAAGCUUACCAAGCCUGCGAUCUGUAGCUGGUCUGAGAGGAGGACCAGCCACACUGGAACUGAGACACGGUCCAGACUCCUACGGGAGGCAGCAGUGGGGAAUUUUGGACAAUGGGCGCAAGCCUGAUCCAGCAAUGCCGCGUGCAGGAUGAAGGCCUUCGGGUUGUAAACUGCUUUUUAGGGAAGGAAAGGGC
rnacentral:rRNA from 1 species